GAUGAACGCUGGCGGCGUGCCUAAUCCAUGAAAGUCGAGCGAACGGACGAGAAGCUUGCUUCUCUGAUGUUAGCGGCGGACGGGGGAGUAACACGUGGAUAACCUACCUAUAAGACUGGGAUAACUUCGGGAAACCGGAGCUAAUACCGGAUAAUAUUUUGAACCGCAUGGUUCAAAAGUGAAAGAGGGCUUUGCUGUCACUAUUAGUGGGACCCGCGCUGCAUUAGCUAGUUGGUAAGGUAACGGCUUACCAAGGCAACGAUGCAUAGCCGACCUGAGAGGGUGAUCGGCCACACUGGAACUGAGACACGGUCCAGACUCCUACGGGAGGCAGCAGUAGGGAAUCUUCCGCAAUGGGCGAAAGCCUGACGGAGCAACGCCGCGUGAGUGAUGAAGGUCUUCGGAUCGUAAAACUCUGUUAUUAGGGAAGAACAUAUGUGUAAGUAACUGUGCACAUCUUGACGGUACCUAAUCAGAAAGCCACGGCUAACUACGUG
rnacentral:rRNA from 1 species